rnacentral:rRNA from 1 species
UACGGAGGGUGCAAGCGUUAUUCGGAAUUACUGGGCGUAAAGCGCGUGUAGGCGGGAAGGUAAGUCUGAUGUGAAAGCCCCGGGCUUAACCUGGGAAGUGCAUUGGAUACUGGAAGACUUGAGUACGGGAGAGGGUAGUGGAAUUCCUAGUGUAGGAGUGAAAUCCGUAGAUAUUAGGAGGAACACCGGUGGCGAAGGCGGCUGCCUGGACCGAUACUGACGCUGAGACGCGAAAGCGUGGGGAGCAAACAGGAUUAGAUA